AUUGUCUGUACUGGUGAGAUGAGUCUCUACCUUCUGAGGAACUCUCAUACCAUUUAUUUGGUGUGGUUGGAAAUCAGGACUGUUACUUUGAAAAAAUUAGAGUGUUUAAAGCAGGCUAACGUCUGAAUACAUUAGCAUGGAAUAAUGAAAUAGGACGGAUUGAUUCUAUUUCGUUGGUUUCUAGGGUCACCGUAAUGAUUAAUAGGGAUAGUUGGGGGCAUUAGUAUUCAAUUGUCAGAGGUGAAAUUCUUGGAUUUAUUGAAGACUAACUACUGCGAAAGCAUUUGCCAAGGAUGUUUUCAUUAAUCAAGAACGAAAGUUAGGGGAUCGAAGACGAUCAGAUACCGUCGUAGUCUUAACCAUAAACUAUGCCGACUAGGGAUCGGACGCAGUUAAUUUUAUAAUGACGUGUUCGGCACCUUACG
rnacentral:rRNA from 1 species